rnacentral:rRNA from 1 species
GAGACAGCAGUAGCCACGGUAAUACGUAGGGUGCAAGCGUUAAUCGGAAUUACUGGGCGUAAAGCGUGCGCAGGCGGUUAUAUAAGACAGAUGUGAAAUCCCCGGGCUCAACCUGGGAACUGCAUUUGUGACUGUAUAGCUAGAGUACGGCAGAGGGGGAUGGAAUUCCGCGUGUAGCAGUGAAAUGCGUAGAUAUGCGGAGGAACACCGAUGGCGAAGGCAAUCCCCUGGGCCUGUACUGACGCUCAUGCACGAAAGCGUGGGGAGCAAACAGGAUUAGAGACCCCUGUAGUCCCUGUCUCUUAUAC